CCUACGGGUGGCAGCAGUGAGGAAUAUUGGUCAAUGGUCGGGAGACUGAACCAGCCAAGCCGCGUGAGGGAGGAAGGUACAGAGUAUCGUAAACCUCUUUUGUCAGGGAACAACGACUGGGACGCGUCCCCGGAUGAGUGUACCUGAAGAAAAAGCAUCGGCUACCUCCGUGCCAGCAGCCGCGGUAAUACGGAGGAUGCGAGCGUUAUCCGGCUUUAUUGGGUUUAAAGGGUGCGCAGGCGGGCUGUUUAGUCAGCCGGGAAAGGCCGGGGGUCAACCCCGGCCCGCCGGUUGAAACUGGCAGUCUCGAGUAGGAGAGAAGUAUGCGGAAUGCGCGGGGUAGCGGUGAAAUGCAUAGAUAGCGCGCAGAACUCCGAUUGCGAAGGCAGCAUGCCGGCUCCACACUGACGCUGAGGCACGAAAGCGUGGGUAUCGAACAGGAUUAGAUACCCGGGUAGUC
rnacentral:rRNA from 1 species